rnacentral:rRNA from 1 species
UACGAACCGUGCAAGCGUUGUUCGGAAUCACUGGGCUUAAAGCGCGCGUAGGCGGGCAGGCAAGUCAGGGGUGAAAGCCCACGGCUCAACCGUGGAAGUGCCUUUGAUACUGCCUGUCUCGAGGGAGGUAGGGGCGUGCGGAACUUCCGGUGGAGCGGUGAAAUGCGUAGAUAUCGGAAGGAACACCGGUGGCGAAAGCGGCGCGCUGGACCUCUUCUGACGCUGAGGCGCGAAAGCCAGGGGAGCAAACGGG